CUCAAGACAGAAAUACUAAACGGAAGAGGACUAAGUGUGACUGGCUAAGUACAUAAAGAAGACAAUGUGAUGAAUAUUCUGAUAGAUACGACAUAGCCGACCAGGAAGACGACCCUGAAGACCCUGAAGAGUUGUAACACCGCAUCGUCUCCAGAAGACCCUGAAGAGUUAU